UAAGGAAUAUUGGACAAUGGAGGCAACUCUGAUCCAGCCAUGCCGCGUGAAGGAAUAAGGCCCUAUGGGUUGUAAACUUCUUUUAGACGGGACAAAACCCCUUUACGUGUAAAGGGUUGAUGGUACUGUCAGAAUAAGCAUCGGCUAACUUCGUGCCUGCAGCCGCGGUAAUACGAAGGAUGCAAGCGUUAUCCGGAAUUAUUGGGUUUAAAGGGUGCGUAGGCGGACUAAUAAGUCAGUGGUGAAAGCCUGCAGCUUAACUGCAGAAUUUCCAUUGAUACUGUUAGUCUUGAGUACAGUUGAGGUAGGCGGAAUGUGUCAUGUAGCGGUGAAAUGCUUAGAUAUGACACAGAACACCGAUUGCGAAGGCAGCUUGCUAAGCUGUAACUGACGCUGAGGCACGAAAGCGUGGGGAGCAAACA
rnacentral:rRNA from 1 species